rnacentral:rRNA from 1 species
AGUGAACGCUGGCGGUAGGCCUAACACAUGCAAGUCGAACGGCAGCACAGUAAGAGCUUGCUCUUACGGGUGGCGAGUGGCGGACGGGUGAGGAAUAUAUCGGAAUCUACUUUUUCGUGGGGGAUCACGUAGGGAAACUUACGCUAAUACCGCAUACGACCUACGGGUGAAAGCAGGGGAUCUUCGGACCUUGCGCGAUUGAAUGAGCCGAUGUCGGAUUAGCUAGUUGGCGGGGUAAAGGCCCACCAAGGCGACGAUCCGUAGCUGGUCUGAGAGGAUGAUCAGCCACACUGGAGCUGAGACACGGUCCAGACUCCUGCGGGAGGCAGCAGUGGGGAAUAUUGGACAAUGGGGGCAAGCCUGAUACAGCCAUACCGCGUGGGUGAAGAAGGCGUUCGGGUUGUAAAGCCCUUUUGUUGGGAAAGAAAAGCAGCAGGUUAAUACCCCGCUGUUCUGACGGUACCCAAAGAAUAAGCACCGGCUAACUUCGUG